UACGGAGGGUGCAAGCGUUACCCGGAUUCACUGGGUGUAAAGGGCGCGUAGGUGGGCUGGUAAGUCAGUGGUGAAAUCUCCGAGCCUAACUCGGAAAUUGCCAUUGAUACUGAUGGUCUUGAGUACAUUUGAAGUGGGCGGAAUGUGUCAUGUAGCGGUGAAAUGCUUAGAUAUGACACAGAACACCGAUUGCGUAGGCAGCUCACUAAACUGUAACUGACGCUGAGGCACGAAAGCGUGGGGAGCAAACAGG
rnacentral:rRNA from 1 species